rnacentral:rRNA from 1 species
UACAGAGGGUGCGAGCGUUAAUCGGAAUGACUGGGCGUAAAGGGUGCGUAGGUGGUUUGGUAAGUGAGAUGUGAAAUACCCGGGCUUAACCUGGGAAUGGCGUCUCAUACUGUCAGACUCGAGUGUUGUAGAGGGAAGCGGAAUUUCCGGUGUAGCGGUGAAAUGCGUAGAUAUCGGAAGGAACAUCAGUGGCGAAGGCGGCUUUCUGGACAACAACUGACACUGAGGCACGAAAGCGUGGGGAGCAAACAGGAUUAGAAACCCUGGUAGU